UACAGAGGUCCCAAGCGUUGUUCGGAUUCACUGGGCGUAAAGGGUGCGUAGGUGGUGAGGUAAGUCGGAUGUGAAAUCUCCGGGCUCAACCCGGAAAUGGCAUUGGAAACUACCUUGCUGGAGGAUUUGAGGGGGGAUUGGAAUACUUGGUGUAGCAGUGAAAUGCGUAGAUAUCAAGUGGAACACCAGUGGCGAAGGCGAAUCCCUGGAAAAUUCCUGACACUGAGGCACGAAAGCUAGGGGAGCAAACAGG
rnacentral:rRNA from 1 species